rnacentral:rRNA from 1 species
AGAGUUUGAUCAUGGCUCAGAACGAACGCUGGCGGCGUGGAUAAGACAUGCAAGUCGAGCGCUGAUCACAGGGUAGCAAUAUUCUGUGGUCGGAGCGGCGCAAGGGUGCGUAACACGUGGGUAAUCUGCCAUGAAGUUUGGAAUAACUUGCUGAAAGGCGAGCUAAUACCGGAUGUGACGAUUGGGAGGCAUCUCCUGAUCUUCAAAGCUGGGGACCGUAAGGCCUGGCGCUUCAUGAUGAGCCCGCGGCCUAUCAGCUAGUUGGUGAGGUAACGGCUCACCAAGGCUAAGACGGGUAGCUGGUCUGAGAGGACGACCAGCCACACUGGAACUGAGACACGGUCCAGACACCUACGGGUGGCAGCAGUCGAGAAUUUUUCACAAUGGGCGCAAGCCUGAUGGAGCGACGCCGCGUGGGGGAUGAAUGGCUUCGGCCCGUAAACCCCUGUCAUUUGCGAACAAUUCGGUUCAAUUAACACCUGAACCGUUGAUAGUAGCGAAAGAGGAAGGGACGGCUAACUCUGUGCCAGCAGCCGCGGUAAUACAGAGGUCCCAAGCGUUGUUCGGAUUCACUGGGCGUAAAGGGUGCGUAGGUGGUGAGGUAAGUCGGAUGUGAAAGCUCGGAGCUCAACUCCGAAAUGGCAUUGGAAACUACCUUGCUCGAGGGUUGGAGGGGGGACUGGAAUGCUUGGUGUAGCAGUGAAAUGCGUAGAUAUCAAGCGGAACACCAGUGGCGAAGGCGAGUCCCUGGACAACUCCUGACACUGAGGCACGAAAGCUAGGGGAGCAAACAGGAUUAGAUACCCUGGUAGUCCUAGCCGUAAACGGUGCACGUUUGCUGUAAAAGGAAUCGACCCCUUUUGUGGCGUAGCCAACGCGUUAAACGUGCCGCCUGGGAAGUACGGUCGCAGAUUAAACUCAAAGAAAUUGACGGGGCCUGCACAAGCGGUGGAGUAUGUGGCUCAUUCGAUGCACGCG